CGCGAAUAGCUCAUUACAACAGCUAACGAAUCUACUUGAUCUUGACACAAUCCUACUUGGAUAACUGUGGUAAUUCUAGAGCUAAUACAUGCAUUAAAGCUCUGACCUUCGGGGAAGAGUGCAUUUAUUAGAACAAAACCAAGCGGCUUCGGCUGUUUUCGGUUGACUCAUAGUAACUGAGCUGAUCGCAUGGUCUUGCACCGGCGACGUGUCUUUCGAGUAUCUGCCGUAUCAACUUUCGAUGGUAGUGUAUCUGACUACCAUGGUGAUCACGCGUAACGGAGAAUAAGGGUUCGACUCCGGAGAGUUCGCCUGAGAAAUCGCGAACACAUCUAAGGAAGGCAGCAGGCGCGAAAAUUACCCACUCUCAGCACGAGGAGGUAGUGACGAAAAAUAACGAGACCGUUCUCUUAUGAGGCCGGUCAUCGGAAUGGGUACAAUUUAAACCCUUUAACGAGUAUCUAUGAGAGGGCAAGUCUGGUGCCAGCAGCCGCGGUAAUUCCAGCU
rnacentral:rRNA from 1 species